rnacentral:lncRNA from 1 species
GUGCAUUGGUGACAGAAUUUUCUGUGAAUUGGAUGAUUACAGUGCUAGAUGAUGGAAAUCAAACAGAGAAAAACACUUCUAUGUAAGUUUUUAAAAUACUGUUCAUUUUGCUAUUAGAUAUAGGUCAUUUUUCUUUCAAUAAAGUGAAUUAUACAUUCUAGAUGAAUUUUAUUUCCUUUUUAUAUUUUUAUGUGCGUCAAAUGAAAAAUUAAAAUAUUAAACACAUUUGAGAAUAUCUGAGCUUGCUACGAAUAUAAGGACAGAAAAUUACUUUCUAUUGUAUAUCCAAGCUAAGUAGCUUCCCUCCCCUCCAACGAAAUCCAUCAUUUGAGAAUAUCUGAGCUUGUUGUGACGAAUAGAAAAUAUAAGGAUAAUCAUCUACAAUUAUAAGCUUACUACAACUAAAAAUUUUAUAUACGCUAUAUGCAGUUUUAUAUAUACUUCUACCUGGAUAAUUGCUCCGUGUUUUUUUCUCUCUUAGCAAAUUAUUUAUUACCUUUGUUUUGUGGUUCUAACCACCUCAGUUAUGUUUAUACUUGUAGGUUAUAACUAUCAAUGACACACAGAAGAAUUGGUUUCGUUGGAGGAACAGGGGCCACUUGAAACAUUAUAGAAAAAUGAACUGUAGGUAUAAAUGAUAUACAAAAGAAUUUAUGACAAAAAUGCUUAUUUUUUCAGCACUACAACAAAUCACAUUUAAGUAACUCCGAUGGGAUGCAUGUUCUGAUUGUUCAAGUUUCAUUCAAUGCUUUCCUUGUUUCCAUCAACAAUAGCCAAAAGAAUAGGUUAAUCACAUGUUCAAAACAUGCUCAUACAUACAAUUUCCACAAAUUUUAAAAUCGAAGUCUUGGCAGUAAAAUAUAUCUAGCGACUUCUAACUGAAUUGGUCACGUGUAAGAUCAUAUUGGAAUCUAUCUCUCAUCUACACCCAUUUGCAAGCACGGUCACAUAGAUACAGAGGCAUUCUCAGACAUAUCUCAUCCUAAAUAAAGUAUCUAACUUUCCACUUGAUUGUGUAUAGAAUUAAAAAACUUAGUGAAUUGGCACAAUGUAUUAUUCUGGAGUUGGUUGCUUAGAUUGUUUCUCAGAUAGAAAUGAAUCUUUGACAUCAUCAUGCGAAUGAUGCAGCUAUUUUAGCAACCAUUAAGGUGUUUCUACAAUUGACCCUUUAGACUUCUCAUGACCGAUGUUCAUCAACAGGUACAUACAAUUUCAUUCUUAAGUAUCAUCUUUAAUUGACGCUGAAAUUUGUUCUAUUUGGUUUUUUCCAUUGAAUUUACUCAUCCAAACUUCAAUUUUCUUCUUCAGAAGUUGAAUAGAGUAUUCUUAUGAUCUGUCUUGCUGUUUUUGCAAUGUUGAAGAUUUACUUGUUGACAUAUCUUAGACUUGUUUCUAAAUCUCUUUUAAGGAGAAGUUCCUAUACACAUCUAGAUCUCAUUGCUUCUUCUGACACAUGAUUAUUGUUUGAGGAACUGCUGAAGGAACACUAUCAUAGUUGGCAAGUCACUGCAUUGUAAAACCGUCAAAUGAUUCUUUUCAGCAUAUCAUUCCAUCCUUUUAUUCUCCAUUUAGUCCUCCUGUAAGUUGCAUGUUGUGAAUCCAAAAAUGCGUGGAUCUUUAAAGAUAUUUUACAAAUUUAAUCUCUACACAGUUUUGAGUCCUGUUAUAAUGGUGCACAUCAGGCCAAGUAUAAUUCUCAAAUCUCGUAUACAAUUAAAUCAAAUUUAGCAAUGUCCUUAUUCUAAAUUCUAAGCUCUUUUGCUUCAGAUAAAGUAUAUCACAUAUGAAGUUUUCUGUUUCAGCUUACCUAUAAAUUAUGUAAUAUCAUUUGCAGUAAACCUUUCUCUGCCAGGUGCUAUUAUGGUCUCGUGCCUAUUGUGGAGCCUGAAAUUCUUCUGGAUGGAGACCACCCAAUUGAGAGGACACUUGAAUUAGCAGAGCGUUAGCAGAGAACAAUACUAUCUUUGAAGUCAUUCUACAUAAACCUUCCAUGGUAGCUCCAAGUGCUGAGGACAAAGAGUAGGCUUUUCCAAAUACCAUUAUCAAAGAUACACUCACCAUGCUCAAAAGGAGAGUGCCUCUGACAGUUCUAGGAAUCAUGGUAUAAAACUCAACCCCCUGUCAAUUAAGUUAAUACUGUGAAUUUGCCCCUCGGGGUAUAGUCCAGUAGUGCAAAGGAUAAGAGUGAGGUUAUCUCAAGCCUUGCUGGCAGCCGCAAUGUGGGGGUUCGAUUCUUGAGACAUGAAAUUGGACUCCUUGUAGGCACAGUGUACAGACAGUUCUUGUUCCCCGACCUGUUGGGGCAUAUUUCGCGAUUUACUUCCUUCACAAAGCCCCGGGGAGGGGGGGGGAGGGGGUGGGAGCCCUCAAGGUUGGGACUCAACCUUUUUUAGUUAACACUGUGAAUUUUAAAUCUUUGAGUCCCUAUGUAAACAUCACCAUUAUGAUGUCGCAAGUUUCAACACGUCAUUACUAAUAUCAAUAUUUUGACCAUUGAAGAGUACACUGGGUCAAUUAACACUGAUGAGGGUUUCAAAUUUUGAAAUUCAAAAAAUUUGCAAUUGGAGCUUGAAAGGGUGUUUGGUGAUGUGAGUAGGGUGGGAGAAAAAAGUUUGGACUCUAUGCGAUGGGAUAGAUUGGUAAUUAUUGGUGAUUUUAGACAUUUUAGGAAUUUUAUUAUUUUAUUUAUUGAUUUCUUUGUGUUGUUUGCUUUUGUUUUCAUUUCAUUUCAUUUCUUUUUUUUGUUUUUCUAAAGAAUAUAUGGGAAUUAAGUUUAAAAUUAAGAUUUUGUUUUUAUAAUGUAAA